rnacentral:ncRNA from 2 species
AAAAAAAGCUAGGGGUGCCGCAAGGCUGAGAGAGAUUCACAUCUCAACUCUUUGAACCUGAUGUAGUUAGUACUACCGUAGGGAGAGCAUGUAACAAUUUAU